ACGAACGCUGGCGGCGUGCUUAACCCAUGCAAGUCGAACGCAGAGCGAUGGAAGCUUGCUUCUAUCAAUCUUAGUGGCGAACGGGUGAGUAACGCGUAAUCAACCUGCCCUUCAGAGGGGGACAACAGUUGGAAACGACUGCUAAUACCGCAUACGAUCUAAUCUCGGCAUCGAGGAUAGAUGAAAGGUGGCCUCUACAUGUAAGCUAUCACUGAAGGAGGGGAUUGCGUCUGAUUAGCUAGUUGGAGGGGUAACGGCCCACCAAGGCGAUGAUCAGUAGCCGGUCUGAGAGGAUGAACGGCCACAUUGGGACUGAGACACGGCCCAGACUCCUACGGGAGGCAGCAGUGGGGAAUCUUCCGCAAUGGACGAAAGUCUGACGGAGCAACGCCGCGUGAGCGAUGACGGCCUUCGGGUUGUAAAGCUCUGUUAAUCGGGACGAAAGGCCUUCUUGCGAAUAGUGAGAAGGAUUGACGGUACCGGAAUAGAAAGCCACGGCUAACUACGUG
rnacentral:rRNA from 1 species